UGGGGAAUAUUGGACAAUGGGCGAAAGCCUGAUCCAGCCAUGCCGCGUGUGUGAAGAAGGUCUUCGGAUUGUAAAGCACUUUAAGUUGGGAGGAAGGGCAGUAAGCGAAUACCUUGCUGUUUUGACGUUACCGACAGAAUAAGCACCGGCUAACUCUGUGCCAGCAGCCGCGGUAAUACAGAGGGUGCAAACGUUAAUCGGAAUUACUGGGCGUAAAGCGCGCGUAGGUGGUUCGUUAAGUUGAAUGUGAAAGCCCCGGGCUCAACCUGGGAACUGCAUCCAAAACUGGCGAGCUAGAGUAGGGCAGAGGGUGGUGGAAUUUCCUGUGUAGCGGUGAAAUGCGUAGAUAUAGGAAGGAACACCAGUGGCGAAGGCGACCACCUGGGCUCAUACUGACACUGAGGUGCGAAAGCGUGGGGAGCAAACAGG
rnacentral:rRNA from 1 species